GCCUGGCAUAGUGGCACAUGCCUGUAAUCCCAGCUAUUCAGCAGGCUGAGACAGCAGGAUCACUUGAAUCCAGGAGUUCUGGGCUGCAGUGAGCUAUGCUGAUUGGGUGUCUGCACUAGUUUGGUAUCAAUAUGGUGACCUCCCAGGAGCCGGGGACAACCAGGUUGCCUAAGGAGAGGUGAAGUGGCCCAGGUCAGAAAUGGAGCAGUUCAAAACUCCCAUGCUGAACAGUAGUGGUAUCACACCUGCGAAUAGCCAUUGCACUCCAGCCUGGGCAACAUACUGAGAACCUGUCUCU
rnacentral:SRP_RNA from 1 species